rnacentral:piRNA from 1 species
GAUAUUUUCUCCACUGAAACUGAAAGAACAU